AUAUACAUGGGUAUAUAAGAGUGUCGUGGCUGUACUCCCUUCAAUGUGGAACACGCCACGUUAAAUAAAACUCGGAGGGAUCCGAUCCACACCUGUCCCUAUCUACUAUCUAGCGAAACCACAGCCAAGGGAACGGGCUUGGAAUAAUUAGCGGGGAAAGAAGACCCUUUUGAGCUUGACUCUAAUCUGGCAGUGUAAGGAGACAUAAGAGGUGUAGAAUAAGUGGGAGAUAUUAGGCUU
rnacentral:ncRNA from 1 species